rnacentral:ncRNA from 1 species
GAUCAAUUCGUAAACCGGUUAAGCCGGAGAGCGAAUGGUUUUAACCACAGUUUUUAUUCGGGAAACCCGAUGAAAGGUGAGCA